rnacentral:rRNA from 1 species
AGUGAACGCUGGCGGUAGGCCUAACACAUGCAAGUCGAACGGCAGCACAGUAAGAGCUUGCUCUUACGGGUGGCGAGUGGCGGACGGGUGAGGAAUACAUCGGAAUCUACUUUUUCGUGGGGGAUAACGUAGGGAAACUUACGCUAAUACCGCAUACGACCUACGGGUGAAAGCAGGGGAUCUUCGGACCUUGCGCGAUUGAAUGAGCCGAUGUCGGAUUAGCUAGUUGGCGGGGUAAAGGCCCACCAAGGCGACGAUCCGUAGCUGGUCUGAGAGGAUGAUCAGCCACACUGGAACUGAGACACGGUCCAGACUCCUACGGGAGGCAGCAGUGGGGAAUAUUGGACAAUGGGCGCAAGCCUGAUCCAGCCAUACCGCGUGGGUGAAGAAGGCCUUCGGGUUGUAAAGCCCUUUUGUUGGGAAAGAAAAGCAGCAGGUUAAUACCCCGCUGCUCUGACGGUACCCAAAGAAUAAGCACCAGCUAACUUCGUG